GACGAACGCUGGCGGCGUGCCUAAUACAUGCAAGUAGAACGCAGUUGCGAACGGGUGAGUAACGCGUAGGUAACUGCCUCAUAGCGGGGGGUAACUAAUGGAAACGAUAGCUAAUACCGCAUACUGUGAGAUGGACCUGCGUUGUAUUAGCUAGUUGGUUAGGUAAAGGCUCACCAAGGCGCCGAUACAUAGCCGACCUUGGAGGGGGAUCGGCCACACUUGGACGGGGACACGGGCCAGACUCCUACGGGAGGCAGCAGUAGGGAAACUUCGGCAAUGGAAGGAAGUCUGACCAAGCAAAGCCGCGGGAGGUAAGAAGGUUUUCGGAUCGUAAAGCUAUGUUGUUAGAGAAGCGGUAACUAAAGAGAAAGGAACGGCUAACUACGUGCCAGCAGCCGCGGUAAUUC
rnacentral:rRNA from 1 species